rnacentral:rRNA from 1 species
UACGGAGGGUGCGAGCGUUGUCCGGAAUCACUGGGCGUAAAGGGUGCGUAGGCGGCUGGGUAAGUCACGUGUGAAAGGCCGGGGCUCAACCCCGGAUCGGCAUGUGAGACUGCUCGGCUCGAGCACGGUAGAGGCGAGUGGAAUUCCUGGUGUAGCGGUGGAAUGCGUAGAGAUCAGGAAGAACACCGGUGGCGAAGGCGGCUCGCUGGGCCGUUGCUGACGCUGAAGCACGAAAGCGUGGGGAG